rnacentral:rRNA from 1 species
UACGAAGGGGGCUAGCGUUGCUCGGAAUUACUGGGCGUAAAGCGCACGUAGGCGGAUUGUUAAGUCGGGGGUGAAAUCCUGGAGCUCAACUCCAGAACUGCCUUCGAUACUGGCGAUCUCGAGUUCGGGAGAGGUGAGUGGAACUGCGAGUGUAGAGGUGAAAUUCGUAGAUAUUCGCAAGAACACCAGUGGCGAAGGCGGCUCUCUCGGUACGUGA